GGUCACGAGUGACAGUGGAAAGCCCCGGCUUGCUGUCCGGCAACCCUCGCUCCGCGGUGGGGUGCCCCGGGUGAUGACACGGUCGGGCGUCGUCAGGCGUCCCGGCAAGCGCGGACC
rnacentral:ncRNA from 2 species